CUUCGCGGUGCAGCUGAGGCUGCAAGUAGCCGGCGCCGUCCCGCGUCGCCCCCGCGCAGGGCGGGCCCCGCACGCUUAUUCUGCCCGGGAGGAACGCCGGCGUCCAGCCCGCUACCGACCGCCGCUGCGGGAUGCUGCGCUCCACGUCCACGGUCACCCUGCUCUCGGGCGGCGCCGCCAGGACGCCCGGGGCGCCCAGCAGGAGGGCAAAUGUUUGCAGACUACGGCUGACCGUACCUCCUGAGAGUCCAGUUCCUGAGCAAUGUGAAAAGAAGAUUGAGAGAAAAGAGCAGCUUCUUGACCUGAGCAAUGGAGAACCUACCAGGAAACUUCCUCAGGGUGUUGUUUAUGGUGUGGUGCGAAGAUCAGAUCAAAAUCAGCAGAAAGAAAUGGUGGUGUAUGGGUGGUCCACCAGUCAGCUGAAAGAAGAGAUGAACUACAUCAAAGAUGUGAGAGCCACUUUGGAAAAGGUGAGAAAGCGAAUGUAUGGAGACUAUGAUGAGAUGAGACAGAAGAUUCGACAGCUCACCCAGGAACUAUCAGUUUCCCAUGCUCAGCAGGAGUAUCUGGAGAAUCACAUCCAAACCCAGUCGUCUGCCCUGGAUCGUUUUAAUGCCAUGAACUCAGCCUUGGCAUCAGAUUCCAUUGGCCUGCAGAAAACCCUCGUGGAUGUGACUUUGGAAAACAGCAACAUUAAGGAUCAAAUCAGAAAUCUGCAGCAGACGUAUGAAGCAUCCAUGGACAAGCUGAGGGAAAAGCAGAGGCAGUUGGAGGUAGCGCAAGUUGAAAACCAGCUGCUAAAAAUGAAGGUGGAAUCGUCCCAAGAAGCCAAUGCUGAGGUGAUGCGAGAGAUGACCAAGAAGCUGUACAGCCAGUAUGAGGAGAAGCUGCAGGAAGAACAGAGGAAGCACAGUGCUGAGAAGGAGGCUCUUUUGGAAGAAACCAAUAGUUUUCUGAAAGCGAUUGAAGAAGCCAAUAAAAAGAUGCAAGCAGCAGAGAUCAGCCUAGAGGAGAAAGACCAGAGGAUCGGGGAGCUGGACAGGCUGAUUGAGCGCAUGGAAAAGGAACGUCAUCAACUGCAACUUCAACUCCUAGAACAUGAAACAGAAAUGUCUGGGGAGUUAACUGAUUCUGACAAGGAAAGGUAUCAGCAGUUGGAGGAGGCAUCAGCCAGCCUCCGUGAGCGGAUCAGACACCUAGAUGACAUGGUGCAUUGCCAGCAGAAGAAAGUCAAGCAGAUGGUCGAGGAGAAUAAUGAACUACAAAGCAGGUUGGACUAUUUAACAGAAACCCAGGCCAAGACCGAAGUGGAAACCAGAGAGAUAGGAGUGGGCUGUGAUCUUCUACCCAGCCAAACAGGCAGGACUCGUGAAAUUGUGAUGCCUUCUAGGAACUACACCCCAUACACAAGAGUCCUGGAGUUAACCAUGAAGAAAACUCUGACUUAGGCACUCAGAGGCAUACACUUUUUACAGAUGGACAAAAGCUCUGGAACCCUGUGGCUUCAAAUCCUUUGGGAAGGGUGACUGUUGUUUCCCCUACACACAGUGUAAGCCGGAAUGGGAAUCGCUGAGGCUCUGAUCCACUUCUAAGACAGGAAGGAAAGUGAAGGCAGAGUGAGCAGGUAAAUACCUAGCAGAAGAAUGGCUGGGUCAAACGGUAUAUUUUAAGAAACUGCCAAACUGGUUUCCAAAGAGGUUGUACUAUUUUGCAUUCCCAUUAGCAGUGUAUCAAAGUUCCAGUUGCUCUACAUCCUUUACAACACUUGGAAUGGUCAGUCUUUCUGGCAAAGUAGAAAAUUCGAAAAGGUCCUCAACGAGUUUGUACAGCUGCUCCCACUCCCUCAUCACCUCUUGUGGGCCUUUGGAAAUGUAUGUUGGAGGAGACAUUUUGGAUUGUUGCAAUGACUUGGGAGUGCCAUAGCACCUAGCAGGCAGAAGCCAGAAACACCAAAUGUCUUAACAAUGCUUGAGGCGGUGCUACAAAUGAAGUCCUUCUCCAAAUGCAUUGAGCCCCAAGAAAAAUCGCUGAUUCUGAGGAACCUUCCAACUUUAACAAUUUCAGGACGUCCCUAAGCUGAGCUAGGAGGCACCACGCACAGGCCGGAGGCACCACGCACAGGCCAGAGUCUCCCAAAUCCUGUCCCGCACUCUCUCCCACCUUAUUAAUGGCCAGCUCAUCUUUCAAGUUUCGACUUGAACCACUUCUCAGAGAUAUCUUCCCAGAAAAUUCAUUUGCAAAUUGCCCGACAAAGGUAAAAAGAUCUUUGACUCUUUUGCCAAACUGAAAGCUGCCAUUGCAGAAUGUGAAGAAGUUAGAAGAAAAAGUGAACUGUUUAACCCUGUUAGUUUAGACUGUAAGCUAAGGCAAAAAGCAAUUGCAGAAGUUGAUGUGGGUACAGAUAAGGCCCAGAAUUCUGACCCGAUACUUGAUACUUCAUCACUAGUUCCUGGAUGUUCCUCUGUAGAUAACAUCAAGUCAUCUCAAACCUCACAAAACCAGGGACUUGGACGUCCUACUCUUGAAGGUGAUGAAGAGACUUCAGAGGUUGAGUACACAGUGAAUAAGGGCCCAGCUUCCAGCAAUAGAGACAGGGUACCACCUUCAUCUGAAGCUAGUGAGCAUCACCCGCGGCAUCGUGUUUCAAGUCAAGCGGAAGAUACUUCCAGCAGCUUUGACAACCUGUUUAUUGACAGGUUACAGAGGAUCACCAUUGCGGACCAAGGUGAACAACAGUCAGAAGAAAACGCAAGUACUAAGAACUUGACAGGCCUUUCCAGUGGGACUGAGAAGAAACCUCAUUACAUGGAAGUGCUAGAAAUGCGAGCCAAAAACCCAGUGCCCCAGCUGCGUAAAUUUAAAACCAAUGUGUUACCUUUUCGACAAAAUGAUUCAUCUAGUCAUUGCCAGAAGAGUGGGUCUCCUAUUUCCUCAGAAGAGCGGCGGCGCAGGGAUAAGCAGCAUCUUGAUGACAUCACAGCAGCUCGGCUUCUACCACUUCACCAUAUGCCCACGCAGCUGCUCUCCAUAGAAGAAUCCUUGGCACUUCAGAAACAGCAGAAACAGAAUUAUGAGGAGAUGCAAGCAAAGCUCGCAGCGCAAAAAUUAGCUGAAAGACUGAAUAUUAAAAUGCGGAGUUAUAAUCCAGAAGGGGAGUCUUCAGGGAGAUACCGAGAAGUAAGGGAUGAAGAUGACGAUUGGUCCUCUGAUGAAUUCUGAAGAUAAUCUCCUAAAUCACUGACGUUGAGAUGUCAUCAUCUUACAUCAGACUUUCUAACUAGUAUCAAGAUCAGUGUCAGAUAUUGUUGAGGGAAGUAAUUUUAUAAAGUUACACAAAGGUAGUUAUAAAAAAAGCCCAGUUUGUCUUUCAGAAGGUGACUUUCAUGUGCUUGAAAAGUUUAAUAUUUGAAUAUUGUGUUUAACCACAUGGUAUUAAAAUUUUGCAAUAUAUUGUGUAUUGGUCUGAUAUUUUAGUAUAUAGUAGAACAUACUUUUUUUUUCUUUAAGCCAAAUGAAAAGAGGUAACUUUGCUUUUUUCCUUUUUCUUACCUAUCAAAUAGCAUUUAUUACAUGUCUUUCAGUGAAAUACUUAGUUGUUCCAGGCACCUAAAAUCAAUUAGGAAGACAUAGUUCCCUUCUUUUUUGGGUAAUGAAGGGAGCAGUCUAAAGAAUUGUAUGCAUGUUUGCAUGGGGUUAUUGAGACAUUGGAUGUGAAAUACCUAGGAAGACAUGUAUGGAGAAUGCUUAACAAAUGCUCUUCUCCUUUUUCUGUCUUCCCUUAGGAAGAACGUUAUCUCUCUUCUGAUUAGGAAGGACUUCCCUUUUGAGUAGAUGCUGGAAAGUGGAGGUUUUUUUUGUUGGUUUGUUUGUUUGGUUUUGUGUUUUUUUUUGAGAUGGGGUCUUGCUCUGUCGCCCAGGCUGGAGUGCAGUGGCAGGAUCUCGGCUCACUGCAAUCUAGGUGGAGGUCUUUUUAAAUAACCUCAUGUUACUUCAGGCAAAUCUGGUACAGGAGAAGCCCAAGCUAACUGAGCUGGGUGAAGGCUUGUGCAUCACCUGGCUUGAGUUCCUUGCUGUCACAGAUGAUAGGUUCAUGUACACAACAUUAAUGUUUGAUAAGGAAAGCAUUUUUUUUUUGUUAAAAUUGAAUUGUCAGUACUUUACUUUUUUCCCCCCAAAUAGGUAUAUAUAGACUGCAGAAGCUUCAGUCCCAUAUAUAAACGUUCAUGUCAUUUUAGAGGAUUAUAUGGUUGUCUCCAGAGAAAUUAACUUACAUUAUCAAAAAAUUCUUUGUCUAAUAUAUUGGAGUCUUUAAAAGUGUUGAAGAAUAAAAUAUUAAUUAGAACAACUUCAAAUGCUAAGGUGAUGUUUUACCGGGACUUAAUUAAAUACAACUUUUUCCUUUCGAAAAAGACUGUUCACAUUUGCUUCCAGGUGUAAUUAUUGCUUUCAUUCCUUACCCCCCUCAAGCAAAUGUGAAAAGUAUACUGACCUAAGAUUCUCAUUAGUUUUAGUUCUUAAAACGAAUAGUAAAUGAUUUCACAGCGUAAAAUUUGAUGUUAUUUCUGGAAGCUGGAUGAUAUGGAAGAGUUCAUGUGCCUGGACACACAGUUCCCUGUAAUCCUGCCAUCUAGGGAGAUAAACUCUGUUAACAUUUUGAUGUUGUGUUUUUGCUUAUUUUUCUAUGCAUAGUUAUGCAUUUAUAUUCUCAAAAAUGAAAUCAUAAUGUACAUUGCUUUGUAGUCUGCUCUAUAUAUUGUCAAUAUGUUCCCAUAUUAAAUAUUUUGCUUUUUAGACAGCUGUAGGAUAUUUUAUUUCAUGGGUAUACCAUAACUUUAAGAUUUAUUUCCUAUUCAGCAAUUUGAUUAUGUAUUAUAAUGUAAUCUGUAAAUAGUGAUAUGAUUAACAUCUUAAUCACAUCCAUAGAAAAUGACUUAUUUCCAGAAGAUACCGCUCUAAAAAUGAAAUUGUUAGGUGAAAGUGUUUUUGAGAAUUUUUAUAUAUAUUACUCACUGCAGAGAUCAUGUUCAUUUACAUUCCCAUUAGCAAUAUAUCCAAUGCUCAGAAUUGAAAAUUACUACUUAAAAUCUUUGCAAAUUGAAUAAUUACAGAAAAGGGCUACAUUUAAAAUUUGUAUUUGUUUUUCUUACUUAGUGAAGGUUGUGUUUUUUUUCAUAUUCAUUGGCCAUGCUAUAUUCAUUCUUUUGAGAAUUGCUCAUUCAUAUUUUUUCUGUUGCUUGCUUGGAGAAUUUGCUCUUUUUUUGGCAUAUAAGUUCUUAAGAAUGUCCGUCCUUUGUCAUAUAUUGUAACUUUUUUUAGCCUUAUUUGUCAUUUAACAUAGUUUGUGGUAUUUCAGUAUAGAAGUUGUUUUCUUUAGGAGUCUACCUUUGUGUAUGUGCUUGAAAGUAUUUUUGUAAUCCAAGAAUGGAUAAAUGUCCUUAUUUUCUUCUAGUAUUUUCUUAUUUCACUUUUACACCUAUCUUUAAAAGGAAUUUAAAUUUUGUUUAUAUACAUUAACUAAAUCAGUACAAGUUUGGGGUGAAAAGGAAAUUUUUAAUCCAUCUCAAAUGUAUUUGGUUAUAUUAUAUAAGGUAGGGAUUUGAUUUUAUUUCGAAGAAUUUACCAAUUGGUUCAGUAUGUGAAACCACCAUUUCCCCUCUGAUUAGUAAUGCUAUUUUUAUAGAAUAUUAAAUUCUUAUGUGUCUUUUGUGUCUUAGGCCAAUUUCUGGGCCUUCUGGGUUUUUUCUACACUGUCAAUAAUUAUCGCUUUAAUUGGUGUUAAUAUUUGGUAGUACACAGGUUCUCCCUUGUUCUUUUAAAUUUUGUGAAAUAUAACUUACAAAUAAGUACUUAAAACAGAGCUUAAUGGGUAAAGCAACAGCUGUGUAAUCACAAACUAGAUGCAGAGGAGGUCUUGCCAGCACUCCAAAAUCUCUGUGUGUCCCCUCUUGACACUCACUGUUUCCCCCAGAGCUAACUAUCCUGACGUAUGGUAAUUCUCCCUCUGUCCUUUUAAGAAUUAUUUUACCAGUUAUGUGUAUAACAAUAUGGUUUACAUUUUGCUCACUUUUGACUUAUAUAAAAAUAGAAUAAUACUAUA